rnacentral:rRNA from 1 species
GAUGAACGCUAGCUACAGGCUUAACACAUGCAAGUCGAGGGGCAGCGGGAUUGAAGCUUGCUUCAAUUGCCGGCGACCGGCGCACGGGUGAGUAACGCGUAUCCAACCUUCCGUACACUCAGGGAUAGCCUUUCGAAAGAAAGAUUAAUACCUGAUGGUAUGAUGAGAUUGCAUGAUAGCAUCAUUAAAGAUUUAUCGGUGUACGAUGGGGAUGCGUUCCAUUAGGUAGUAGGCGGGGUAACGGCCCACCUAGCCUACGAUGGAUAGGGGUUCUGAGAGGAAGGCCCCCACAUUGGAACUGAGACACGGUCCAAACUCCUACGGGAGGCAGCAGUGAGGAAUAUUGGUCAAUGGACGAGAGUCUGAACCAGCCAAGUAGCGUGAAGGAUGAAGGUCUUACGGAUUGUAAAACUUCUUUUAUAAGGGAAUAAACCCUCCCACGUGUGGGAGCUUGUAUGUACCUUAUGAAUAAGCAUCGGCUAAACUCCGUGCCAGCAGCCG